CCAUCCCGCCCGCGUUAUCACAAAAUCUCCGAAACUGCUGUACUUGUGUCGCCCUGUUGUGGUCUCUCGCUUGUUACGUCUCAUAGAGGCACUGCGCCGGGUCGCCUGUAGCCAGACAGAAAUUAGGUGCCUUCUUCCUUUUCCUUACAAACCACUAACGUCUCAUAGACAUGGGACGCCCGCGCGUCAUAAGAACUCCGUCGGAGGAGCGCGAGUUUCAGCUUCGACGCAAGGAAAUGAGGCGAGUCCGCCUUCUUAACCAGACCGAGGAACAGCGUGCCAUCAUGCGUUCGAAGCAAGCCGCAUUGCAACGCCGUAGGCGCCAGGACGCCGCACUUCGGGAGCGCGAGAAUGAAGCACGACGGCGACUCCGAGCGGACCCUGUGAUUAGGCAGCUGGAAGCGGCCAAACAGCGUGCGAGACGCGCAGACGAGGCGGUGCGUCUGCGAGAGGCAGAGGCGAGAUGGAGGCGACGUCAGAACCCCGAAGUUCGGCAACUCGAAGCGGCAAAACAUCGUGAACGGCGUAAAGACAUAGCAGUGCGUCUGCGAGAGGCAGAGGCGAACUGGAGGCGACGUCAAAACCCCGAAGUUCGGCAACUCGAAGCGGCGAGACAUCGUGCCCGCAGGGAAGAUCCGGAGGUGCGCCUACGAGAGGCACAAGGUAAUCGACGGCGCCGACAGAACCUAGAAGGCGCGAUAAGCGUUGCACAACAGUAUGACUACGAGGCAUCUCGGGGAUCAGAGACCGGGGAGGACUGGCAAUCGCGGCUGAGGCAACGAACGCAACUUUCCAACGAGCAGGUAUGCGUGUUGUGACGUUUGCUUUUGCCUCGCCCGAGAACAAGACCUAUCGCCCGUCAACAGCGCUCAGCUGCCCUUGCUAAUUGCCGAAUUUCCGGACGAAGAAGUGGACUCCUUCUUGCUGUGCUCGUUGUGUCACUGCCGCAAUUAGAGCGGAUGCAAUUGGUGCGCCUUCUCGAAGCAACGGCUACGCACAUCCUGCUAAUACCGCAGGUUUAUGUGAAGAUCACUUUUUCUGCAGUAGCGACUAUGAAGACUCCUGGAACCAAGUGCACAGUCCUACCCUGCAGAACUGCCUACAGCAGACUGUGAAAGCCAAGGUGGACUGCUGCUUGCAGACGGAUGGAACCGGAAAGGU